UACAGAGGGGGCGAGCGUUGUUCGGAAUUACUGGGCGUAAAGGGCGCGUAGGCGGCCAACUAAGUCAGACGUGAAAUCCCUCGGCUUAACCGGGGAACUGCGUCUGAUACUGGAUGGCUUGAGUUUGGGAGAGGGAUGCGGAAUUCCAGGUGUAGCGGUGAAAUGCGUAGAUAUCUGGAGGAACACCAAUGGCGAAGGCAGCACUCUGGGACGCGACUGACGCUGAGACGCGAAAGCGUGGGGAGCAAACAGG
rnacentral:rRNA from 1 species